rfam:Tursiops truncatus cont1.307491, whole genome shotgun sequence.
AAUUAUCCCGGAGAAUUGUUUAUAUUAAAAACAGGCUGAGAGUUGUUUGAUCUGUCAUCACCCCCCAGAUUGGAUGAUAAACAUUCUUCUUGUCAAGUUGUCUUUGGAAACCCCCUG